rnacentral:piRNA from 1 species
UAAACUGACUAUAAAAUGGAAGAAGCGC